UACGUAGGGUGCGAGCGUUGUCCGGAAUUAUUGGGCGUAAAGAGCUUGUAGGCAGUCUGUCGCGUCUGCUGUGAAAAUCCGGGGCUCAACCCCGGACUUGCAGUGGGUACGGGCAGACUAGAGUGUGGUAGGGGAGACUGGAAUUCCUGGUGUAGCGGUGAAAUGCGCAGAUAUCAGGAGGAACACCGAUGGCGAAGGCAGGUCUCUGGGCCACUACUGACGCUGAGAAGCGAAAGCAUGGGGAGCGAACAGG
rnacentral:rRNA from 1 species